rnacentral:rRNA from 1 species
CCCUUAGAUGUUCUGGGCUGCACGCGCGCGACAAUGACGUUUGCAACGAGAUUGCGAGGCCGUCAGGUCGAGCUGAUCUUGCAAGCUGCGUCGUGAUAGGGACAGUCGAUUGCAAUUAUUCGACUCGAACGAGGAAUUCCUUGUAAUCGCGCAUCAUCAGUGCGCGCUGAAUACGUCCCUGCCCUUUGUACACACCGCCCGUCGCUCCUACCGAUUGAGUGAUCCGGCGAAUGUUUUGGAUCGGCUUCAAGUUGGUUCGCGCCUCUUGCUUGCUGUGAAAUCAUGUAAACCUUAUUGCUUAGAGGAAGGAGAAGUCGUAACA